rnacentral:rRNA from 1 species
AUCAACUUUCGAUGGUAGGAUAGAGGCCUACCAUGGUGGUAACGGGUAACGGGGUGUUAGGGCACGACACCGGAGAGGGAGCCUGAGAAACGGCUACCACAUCCAAGGAUGGCAGCAGGCGCGCAAAUUACCCAAUCCCGACACGGGGAGGUAGUGACAAUAAAUANCAAUACGGGGCUCUUUAGGGUCUCGUAAUUGGAAUGAGUACAAUUUAAAUCUCUUAACGAGGAACAAUUGGAGGGCAAGUCUGGUGCCAGCAGCCGCGGUAAUUCCAGCUCCAAUAGCGUAUAUUAAAGUUGUUGCAGUUAAAAAGCUCGUAGUUGAAUUUCGGGAUCAGCAGGUUGGUCGUGCCUUUGGUAUGCACUGGUUUCGCUGAUUCCUCCUUUCUGAAGAACUGUAAUGUCAUUAAUUUGGUGUUGCAGGGAAACAGGACUGUUACUUUGAAAAAAUUAGAGUGUUUAAAGCAGGCUAACGCUUGAAUACAUUAGCAUGGAAUAAUGAAAUAGGACGUUUGAUCCUAUUUUGUUGGUUUCUAGGAUUGACGUAAUGAUUAAUAGGGAUAGUUGGGGGCAUUAGUAUUCAAUUGUCAGAGGUGAAAUUCUUGGAUUUAUUGAAGACUAACUACUGCGAAAGCAUUUGCCAAGGAUGUUUUCAUUAAUCAAGAACGAAAGUUAGGGGAUCGAAGACGAUCAGAUACCGUCGUAGUCUUAACCAUAAACUAUGCCGACUAGGGAUCGGAUGAUGUUAAUUUUUUAAUGACUCAUUCGGCGCCUUACGGGAAACCAAAGUGUUUGGGUUC